rnacentral:misc_RNA from 1 species
UGAAUGAUUAUAUUCUUCAUCCUACAAUCCAUGCAUAAAAGAUGUACCAUAAGUAUUAUGCAGUCAACAUUUUGUUACAUAUAACCUGUGUGUGAUAUUUAUCUUGUGUUUAUAUCAGUUUUAACUUUUUACAAACUAUGUGAAGUAUAAAAGCUGAGCUUACAUUGCUUCGUAUAUAUUUGUCAUUUCUCUUAAAUUGUAAAUAAAAUGUUUUUUCUAAUGUGAAAAUACUUCAGCCUCUGUAAUUGACAUGAGAAAACAAUUAAAUUGUCAUC